rnacentral:lncRNA from 1 species
CUGACCCAGACGGGCUAAAGCGAGAGGAGGAGGAGGACCCAGUGGCUCAGAACUCUCAGCCUCAAGGGUGGAAACAGGACUGGGACACUGGUCUUCUCCUUCCUUUGGACUCAGACUCAGACUUAGACUGGAAUUUACAACAUCAACUCACCUGGGUUUCCAGCUUGCCAACUUCAGAUCUUGGACUUCUCAUCUUCUAUAAUCAUUGCCAUAAAAUAAGGAAGUGUUCAACAACAACUUAUGAUGGA